rnacentral:rRNA from 1 species
AUACGGAGGGGGCUAGCGUUGUUCGGAAUUACUGGGCGUAAAGCGCACGUAGGCGGAUUAAAAAGUUAGAGGUGAAAUCCCAGGGCUUAACCCUGGAACUGCCUUUAAAACUAGUAGUCUAGAGUUCGAGAGAGGUGAGUGGAAUUCCAAGUGUAGAGGUGAAAGUCGUAGAUAUUUGGAGGAACACCAGUGGCGAAGGCGGCUCACUGGCUCGAUACUGACGCUGAGGUGCGAAAGCGUGGGGAGCAAACAGGAUUAGAAACCCCGGUAGUCC